CGUAGGGUGCGAGCGUUAAUCGGAAUUACUGGGCGUAAAGUGUGCGCAGGUGGCCGCGCAAGUCGAGUGUGAAAUCCCCGAGCUUAACUUGGGAAUUGCGCUCGAAACUACGUGGCUCGAGUGUGGCAGAGGAAGGUGGAAUUCCACGUGUAGCGGUGAAAUGCGUAGAGAUGUGGAGGAACACCGAUGGCGAAGGCAGCCUUCUGGGCCAACACUGACGCUCAUGCACGAAAGCGUGGGGAGCAAGCAGGAUUAGAUACCCUGGUAGUCCACGCCCUAAACGAUGAUGACUAGUUGUUGGGGGAGUUAAAUCCCUUAGUAACGCAGCUAACGCGUGAAGUCAUCCGCCUGGGGAGUACGGUCGCAAGAUUA
rnacentral:rRNA from 1 species